rnacentral:rRNA from 1 species
AGUGGAUGGGGAGCAACCUAGUUGUGCGUGUGUAAAGGUAGUGCCAAGAAAAGCGGUGAUCAUGAUGAAAAUCAAUUCCCGGUACCCGAAACCGACACAGGUGGGCAAAUAGAGAAUACUAAGGGGCGCGAGGUAACUCUCUCCAAGGAACUCGGCAAAAUGACCCCGUAACUUAGGGAGAAGGGGUGCCACCGAGAGGUGGUCGCAGUGAAGAGGCCCAGGCGACUGUUUAGCAAAAACAUAGGUCUCUGCAAACUCGAAAGAGGAGGUAUAGGGGCUGACGCCUGCCCAGUGCCGGAAGGUUAAAGAAGUUGGUCAGUCUUAGGAUGAAGCUAGCGACUGAAGCCCCGGUGAACGGCGGCCGUAACUAUAACGGUCCUAAGGUAGCGAAAUUCCUUGUCGGGUAAGUUCCGACCCGCACGAAAGGCGUAACGAUCUGGGCGCUGGCUCGGAGAGAGGCUCGGCGAAAUAGGAUUGUCUGUGAAGAUACGGACUACCUGCAUUUGGACAGAAAGACCCUAUGAAGCUUUACUAUAGCUUGGAAUUGUGUUCGGGCUUCCUGUGCGCAGGAUAGGUGGGAGGCGUAGAAGGUAUUCUUGUGGGGAUACUGGAGCCAACGGUGAGAUACCACUCUCAGGAGGCUAGAAUUCUAACUUAAUUAAGGACAGUUUCAGGUGGGUAGUUUGACUGGGGCGGUCGCCUCCAAAAAGGUAACGGAGGCGUACAAAGGUUCCCUCAGACUGGUCGGAAAUCAGUCGAAGAGUGCAAAGGCAGAAGGGAGCUUGACUGCGAGAAGUACAGUUCGAGCAGGGUGGAAACACGGUCUUAGUGAUCCGACGGUGCUGUGUGGAAGGGCCGUCGCUCAACGGAUAAAAGUUACUCUAGGAUAACAGGCUGAUCUCCCCCAAGAGUUCACAUCGACGGGGAGGUUUGGCACCUCGAUGUCGGCUCAUCGCAACCUGGGGCGGAAGUACGUCCCAAGGGUUGGGCUGUUCGCCCAUUAAAGCGGUACGUGAGCUGGGUUCAGAACGUCGUGAGACAGUUCGGUCCAUAUCCGAUGUAGGCGUGAGAAUAUUGAGAGGAGCCUUCCUUAGUACGAGAGGACCGGGAAGGACGCACCGCUGGUGUACCUGUUAUGAUGCCAAUUGUAAACGCAGGGUAGCCAAGUGCGGAGAGGAUAACCGCUGAAAGCAUCUAAGUGGGAAGCCCACCUCAAGAUGAGUAUUCUGGUGUAAGGUCACGGGAAGACGACCCGUAAAUAGGCACGAGGUGGAAGUGCAGAGAUGUAUGAAGCCGAAGUGUACUAAUAGACCGUCGGCUUGA